AGUUAUUGAUGAUUGGCGUCCAUGGAUGGUUGAUGGACAAGUUGCAGGUUACACAAGGUCUUUCUCAAAUCAUAUGACAUACG